AAGAGGGCGAAAGUUGGGAGAGCCGGCAGCCCGAGCUGCAGAUUCGUGAGAGCGUAUCAUAAGGGAUCCUAUCCGAUCCUACAUUGACUAUCUUAGGCUAAAACUACACCAAAGAGAACUGCUUAAUAGAAGAAAAGUAUUUAUUUUCCCUCCAUUAUUGAAGAUUACACUAUUUGAACCAUCCUGAAGACGGUUUCUUUUAAUUACAUGGGCACGUACAGGAUUCCAAAACUAGAUUUAUCGGAUGAAAUUCGAAAGCGCCAACUUCUUAUGAAGCUUUGUUUCAUUCGGCAGGAACAAAAUAAUAAGAACAUCCCGCAUUGCCUAGGAUACUAGCGGCGAAAGCCAAGGGCGAGUUUACGUGGCAUCGCUCGAGUCACUCGAGGAACAAAGCCAGAGUUUUCCAGCGGUAAUCAGAUUGGUUGUAUUAAAGAAAAGGGCGUAGCUAGCAAAUACAUAAAUAGAGUACUACUAAGCUUAUCCUCCCUCUUCCCGCGAACACUUGGAGUGCCUGUUUUUUUGUCUAGUUGUGCGCCGUUCAAUCAUCCACAUGAGCACUCCUACAAACUAUUGGUCUCAUGAAGAGCCAGAACCUGCCCUUCUGGCUGGUAUGCCACCACUCCAGUGGAGGAAAAAGAUGUCAAAGAGCAGCAGUGGAGGGGAGGAUCAAAAGGGCAGAAGGAGGGAGAGAUAGGCAUAUGGGAAAAUGGAAGUAGCACAGAAGAACAGCAGAAGUGUGAUGUCAUUGCUUAAUGACCACUUAGUCAUGACCUAACAACCAGGAUCUUUCUGGACACUAAGGUCAGUUAGCUUUUGAGGCAUUAAGGCACUCUCUGAUACAAUAAAUUAUAAAUCUGCCUAAGAUAAACUUGUGUUUGCUCUGCAAAAUCAUAAGCAUCUUUGCUGUAUAAUCUUGUGUUUAUUAUAUGAGUGCUGAGUUUUCUUUGAUUAUCACCAUUUUUUAAGCUCACUUUGCCAGUAUAUGAGUCAUCUGAAGUCUUGGCAAGUCUGGGGGUCAACUGAUGAUAAAAGAAGGUUGUUUAAAGCUGUUAGACAUAUCUGGUUAUUAAUAGAAAAGUAAUUAAAUUUUGACUUGGAAUUUUGAGACAAUGCUAGCACUUUCUUAGAGAGUGAAGAAAGUUAAUACCCACCCCUCCUAGAAGAAUGAAAUAUUAAAAGGGCAGAAUAUUAUAUUUCCCUGGAUGAGAAAAGGAGAAACAUGUUUUAAAGGUAAAGCAGCUCCAUGCAUCUCCCUGCGUCCCCUUCAGCUCCAGGGUGAUGGGAUUAAAACAUGGCCCUCAGGACAUGAUAGGAUUAGCCCUCUAUCAAUCUAACAACAGAACUCACUACUUGGCACCUGGGGAGAUUGCAUCACUCAGCAGGAUUCAACCAAGUCUGGGACUCAAGACAACCUACAAAGUUACCCCUACAUGACUCCAUGGGAGCCUGACAACCAAUCAGAAUACAUUCCUUACACAGGAACAGGAAGCUCCAAGAUGGGUAUAAAUCUCUCUCUCACCCAUGUGAACCUCAAACCAUGUGCUCCUGUCCACCAUUAAACCAUCUUUCCAAACAGC